UGGGGAAUAUUGCACAAUGGGCGAAAGCCUGAUGCAGCAACGCCGCGUGAGUGAUGAAGGCCUUCGGGUUGUAAAGCUCUGUCUUUUGGGACGAUAAUGACGGUACCAAAGGAGGAAGCCACGGCUAACUACGUGCCAGCAGCCGCGGUAAUACGUAGGUGGCAAGCGUUGUCCGGAUUUACUGGGCGUAAAGGAUGCGUAGGCGGAUUUUUAAGUGAGAUGUGAAAACCCUAAGCUUAACUUGGGGACUGCAUUUCAUACUGGAAAUCUAGAGUGCGGGAGAGGAGAAUGGAAUUCCUAGUGUAGCGGUGAAAAUGCGUAGAGAUUAGGAAGAACACCAGUGGCGAAGGCGAUUCUCUGGACCGUAACUGACGCUGAGGCAUGAAAGCGUGGGUAGCAAACAGGAUUAGAUACCCUGGUAGUCCACGCCGUAAACGAUGAGUACUAGGUGUAGGAGGUAUCGACCCCUUCUGUGCCGCAGUUAACACAAUAAGUACUCCGCCUGGGAAGUACGAUCGCAAGAUUAAAAACUCAAAUGAAUUGAC
rnacentral:rRNA from 1 species